AGGAUGCGAGGCUCCGGGAGAGGAGAGAACCCUGGGCUGUGGGGGUAGGGGCUGGGGGCUGGAGGCUGGAGGUUCGGAGACAUGAGAGGGAACGAAGAAAUCCUAGUUUUUAACUGAAGACACGUAAAGGAAAGGGAGUCCUAUGAAAGUAACUCAUCCCGAUGGAAAAUCUACUGUUUUCCAGUUGUCUGGACCAUUUAGACAGCAGCAACGAAUAGGGAGAGGGGCUGUAUUUUGAAGGAGAGGGAUGACUGGUAAGAAUGCUGCUAGAUAAGACCCCAAGGGUGAGAUGGAGUUGCAAAGGCCAUUCAUUCCAGGAACAAGUGUCAGGCAAACAUUAAGUUGUUUUCCUAACUGGAACAUUUUCCUCUAAGUUUUACAUCUCUUUUCUCAUUACUGUUUUCAGUAAAGAUUUAUUACUCUGUAACCAUGAACAAUGUAGUAGUUGUGCCUUGGAACAUAUUUAUGUAAAUAAACUGAAAGGAACACAGGAUGAGAAGAGGAUGGGUGAAGCUAGAGGCAGCCUGAAUUCUACCCCCACAGCCUUCCCCGUUGAUCUGCUGUGUGAUCCUAAACACCUCUAGCACUUCUCUCUAUGGGAAGAACAGCUGUAUCUUUUCAUAGACUUCUGGACAGAAUCCGAUGGGAUAAUGUAGCAAAGGGGAAGCUCUGGGAAAUGGUUCUGAUUUCCAAUGUGGAAAAAUUAGUCCCUGAGCCUACAGCUAUAAGGAAAAGUGGGCACUGUUAAAGAACUUUGCCUACUUCUAGACUGGGUUAACCAACCCCAGGUCUCUGAGGAAGAUACCAAAGAUCUAGCUGGACCCCAUAGCAUAGUCUAGUUCAGGAAGGGGACUGGGGAGGCCCAGACUUUAAACUGCCAGAGGGUCUCUACACACAUUGUGGUGGGGUUUGGGGAUGAUCAUUAAAUACAUUCCUGCUGGCCUCCCUGCUUUUACCAGUAAAGCAGUUGAGAAAUGAGACAACGGGAAUAAAACAAGUGAGGACAAAACCUCAACUUAAUUAUAAUCCUGCCAAAUUAGAGAAUGAGGCUUGACCUAUAGCCACACAUGGCCCCUAAUAUAUACCGACAAAACUCUGGAGAGAAGAGAGCAUCCUUUAAAAAGAGCCCAUGGGGACACAGACCUGGUGGGUAAGGCACAGGCACAAAUGUCUCCUUCCUCCUCGGGAC
rnacentral:lncRNA from 1 species